rnacentral:ncRNA from 2 species
GGGUGCGCGCUGCACGUGGCAGCGCCAGGUCAAGCGAUGGUCGGGCCGCCACG